CAGCAGCCGCGGUAAUACGGAGGGUGCAAGCGUUGUCCGGAUUUAUUGGGUUUAAAGGGUGCGUAGGCGGCCUAAUAAGUCAGUGGUGAAAGCCUCCAGCUUAACUGGAGAACUGCCAUCGAUACUGUUAGGCUUGAGUAUACUUGAGGUAGGCGGAAUUGACAGUGUAGCGGUGAAAUGCAUAGAUAUUGUCAAGAACACCAAUUGCGAAGGCAGCUUACUAAAUUAUAACUGACGCUGAGGCACGAAAGUGUGGGUAUCAAACAGGAUUAGAUACCCCCGUAGUCCCUGUCUCUUAUAC
rnacentral:rRNA from 1 species